rnacentral:rRNA from 1 species
GGAAGGAUCAUUGUCGAAACCUGCAAAGCAGAUUGACCAGCGAACACGUUCAAACAUGUGGGGGAAGGGUGUGUCCCCGGGGUGACUUGUCACGCCGCCCACCCAACCCCUAGCCUUGGGGUCAUCCCUUGCGGUUGACUCCUUGGCACAAUAACAAACACCCGGCGCGUCAAGCGCCAAGGAACAUCGAUAUAGUGUGUGCGCAUGCCAUGCCCGGUCUUCCGGUGCACGGCAGGCACCCAGUGAUAAUACAAUAAUGACUCUCGGCAACGGAUAUCUCGGCUCUCGCAUCGAUGAAGAACGUAGCGAAAUGCGAUACUUGGUGUGAAUUGCAGAAUCCCGUGAACCAUCGAGUCUUUGAACGCAAGUUGCGCCCGAAGCCUUCUGGCUAAGGGCACGUCUGCCUGGGCGUCACGCAUCGCGUCUCCCCCCAUCCUACACGCUAGUGUGGGGAAAGGGGAGGAUGAUGGCCUCCCAUGCCUCACCGGGUGUGGUUGGCCUAAAAAAGGAGCCUCGGGUCACUGAUCGACGCGGCGUAUGGUGGUAUGCAAGGCCUUGCCUCGGAUGCAACGCGCCGCGCGGGACGUGAACGUUGAGGACUCGUAGGACCCUAAGAUGUCUCCUUCGGGGACAGAACCGUUGCGACCCCAGGUCAGGCGGGACUACCCGCUGAGUUUAAGCAUAUC